AGCAACUGUCCAUUUGGAUUCUGGGGUGGAAACUGUUUUCUCUGUUUUCUGACCUUUGCUAUGGGUUACAGGUUGAAGGCUUGAAGGUUUUCAGGUGUUUGUAGCAGAAUAUUAAGGCAAAGAUCAGGAGAGUAUCUUGUUCCGAAGAAGGCAAGCAGCAAAUGUGGCACGUGAAGACUUCAAAAACUCUUGCAUGCCAAGCCUUUCCUUUAGGCGCUGGGCAGGAGUUAGUGCUGUAGGGGGUGACUUCCUCCUAGGAGCCAGCCUGUCAACUUCCAGGCCUUUUUUGUGUGACAUCUGCUCUAGCAGCCAGGAGCUGGGUCACAAGCUUCCUUUUUGUCAUGCUUCUGUGCAGGGUGGUCCAGAGGCAAUAGGAAGAGGAACAAGGGAGGGAGAAUACUGUGUAUGCAGAGUUUGAGUGAUGUCUUCAGGGCUUGGAAAAAUGUAAUUCUGUUUGAGCAGUUUGCAGGCAGUUUUGCAACUCAUCCCCCUGAAUUAGGGACCAAAUGAAGUCAUUAGGCCCUAAUUAAAAGCAGCUAAUCAGAAGUCAGUGGGAGCUCUACCAAUUAAUCGCGGCUGGAACCCAACAAGCUGAAGUACCCAAGGCUGGAUGAAUAAAAGUAAUGAAAUUAGUAUCAGUGCUGUGCAGUACUGCACAACUUCAAGAACAGGUUAUGGGCUGCUCAGCUCUUCCUGCCAUAUCACAAAUAGAGGCUCAUUGUCAAAACAUAGAUGAGUUGGGAAGCAGCUUUUGAGCUUGCCCUGAGCUUUUUGUAAGUCAAGAUGUGUGUAAGCCAGAGUCAAAAGUGGAAUCAUGAAAAAAACAGAUGAAAGGUGAUUUUUUAAGGUGUGAUAAUAUGACCGAAAUAUCUCUUUCACAGCUUGUAAAUAAUUUAUACCCAGAUUCUUUGUUGAUGUCCUAUUCUUUAUUCUUUCGCCUAAAUUGCAAAGACAAGAGAUUGUUUCAGGUGAGUCUCUUGUCCUGUACUCAGCACCACACCUGGUGCAAGGUAACUGCUAAAUAAACAGCAUUUAUUUAAUUAAUUUGGGUCAGAGAAAAAAUUUGAACUGAGAUUUUUUUAAUUCCAAAUUUUGCACACCUUUUCCUAUACGACUUAAGCAGAAGGAUUCAGUGCCCUUUUCUAAUCAAAAUAACAAUUGUUACCUGCUAGCAGUUUUUGGUCCAGAAAUGUUCACGUACUUUGGAUUACAGCUUUAAGAUCUUAGAAAACAGAACCUCAUGUCCAAAAUUUAAUUUCACAGGUGAAGAGACAAGGGCCAGGGAGUGAGAGGAAUUUGUCCUAGGUCCCCCAGCAAAUUUGUGGCAGAGAUAAGACUAGAGCCGAUGUCCUGACUCAAGGUUCAAUUGUUUCCCUCAGCACUUGGCCCUUUGCUUUCAGUAUUAGCAGUCGUCCUUUUUAUUUUAUUUUAUAUUAACUUCAGGGAUACACGUGCAGGAUGCGCAGGUUUGUUACAUAGGUAAACGUGUGCCAUGGUGGUUUGCUGCACCUGUCAAUCCAUCAUCUAGAUAUUAAGCCUAGCAUGCAUUAGCUAUUUUUCCUCAUGCUCUCCCUCCCCCUGCCCCCCACCCACCCAACAACAGGCCCCAGUGUGUGUUGUUCCCUGCCCUGUGUCCAUGUGUUCAGCUCCCACUUAAAAGUGAGAACAUGCGGUGUUUGGUUUUCUGUUUCUGUGUUAGUUUGCUGAGUAUAAUGGCUCCAUCCUUGUCCCUGCAAAGGACAUGUCCUUGUUCCUUUUUAAGCAGUCAUCCUUAUUAAGUGUUAUCUUUUUGUCCUCUGAGAUUUCUAGAGCUAUUAGUCUGUCUAAAUUGAGGCCAAUUAAAGAAUUGCAAAAGUGUUUCUAGAGUCUUUGUUGGUGGCCAGGGCAGUUAGUCUGGGACACGAGGGAGGCAGGAGCCAUCUAGGGCAGAGGGAUUGUCUGCACUAGGACAGCUCUGUUAAAAAGGAGGACUUUUUUGUUUAUGGGAAGAUUUCCAUAAAGAUGAUCUUCUGAGUGAAGGCUGGGCUUUAAGACGAAAUGAGAGACAGUGUUGGUGGAAGAAGAGAACUUAAGGCCAGAAGUUGUGUGUGUGUGUGUGUGUGUGUGUGUAUAAUUAUGCCUGAAUAUGUUUUAUUUAUUAUAGUCUAUGUGUGAUUUUGUAUUUGAAAGUAGAUGCUUGAUUCUACCACAAUUAAAAAAAGGAUAUGCUUGGAUUUGUCUGUAGUAUGUGGGUGUGGAGGAGUUCAUUUGAACACGGGCAUUUUUGUGUGUCCAGGACGUAUCAACAGCCUCCUUAGAGGUGUCAUAUGUGCAGGGAAUACUGAAGAGAGUGCAUUAGUCUACAUGUCUCUCUAUAUAUUUUUUCUUUUUGUGUGUGUCUGGUUUUCCUAGAUUUCUCUCUUGCAUGUUUGUGGGUAUGAGAGUCUGUUAGUAUUAAUAUGUGAAUGGGUGUGUGCUAUUUGUCUGGGGAGGAUGAUUUAGGCAAGGAUUUGAAAGUGUGCAUUUAGAAAUUGAGGGCAUCUCUGUGUUAUUAUGAGUGUAUGUGUGUUUGUGUGUGCAUUUUAGAGUGGUUGGUUAUCUGUGUGUAUUUGCAAGGAGAAGGGGAAUUCAGUGUGUUUCUGUGUUUGUGUGUUUGUUUGUGAAUGGUAUGUUUUGCAGAGGAGUGUACUUUUUAUGUUCGAAAGUUAGGCAAUCAUGUAAUUUAUCAUCCAAAUGGGGAUACAUUUGAGAAUGAAAUAUAUAUGUGUGUGAAAGGAUGUCUUUGAAUGUACUUUUAAAAAUGCAUUUAAUUUUGUGUGUGUUAUUGGUGUCAGGAAUUAAGAAAAAGAAGAGAAGUACAGGAGAUAUCAUUAAAUUAUAUAGUUCUCUCUUCGACUGUAGCCUUAUAACAGGGACAUUAAUAGAAUUAACAGGUAAGAACAGGUCAGCCCCAAAGAUGUGUGCGUGUGUGUGUGUGUGUGUGUGUGUGUGUUACCAGAUCAAUGAACUGAGAAAAGAGGUCAUACAUAUCUUGUGGCGACAAAAACCCAUAUGGUUAAAAAAAAAUCAGCACAGUAAGUAAGGGAAGAAAUGUGAACUACAUUGUGCUAGAAAGUGUCUUUUAUGUACAACAUCUGCUUUGCUAUGUCCUCUUUAUGCUUCCUGCCUUGUUCCCCAUGAGUAACUCUGGCUUGUGAUGGCCAAGAUAGCUGAGACCUUUCAUUCUCUUACCUCCAAAGUUUGGAAAAAUAACUCAGUGUGACCUCCAUCAGGUAAGAGAAAGAAAGAGGCUAGGGAGAGUUGGCUGCUUCAUUUCAGGUGAGUCAGAAAAGAAAUCCCAGGGAUGCUCCUAGUAGUCUCACUCUUUUUCAGAGUGUAGCUUCUGACUCCCUGGUUUAUACAUGCACCCCCUGGGGUUGGGAAAUUCACUUGCUUAGUUCUCACUGGCUUUGUGGGAUGUAGUGAAGAGACUAGAAUGUUACUGCUUCUACUCUACCAUGUCGGUGUAGCAGUUUCUCAGUGGCUUCAUCCCCCAGUCAUCCCUUUUUUAUGUGCACUCUAUAUGCUCAUCGCAGUGGAAUGACUGCAGUCACUUCUGAAUGUCAUAAUAGUGCUAGUAGCACUGCUAGUAGUACCAGUUGUGUGGUGUAUUGGAGAUGGCCACAAAUUCAUUGUCAACCUCUCAUUGAAAGGUGGAAUCUAAUUGUCUCCCUUGGAAUCUGGGAUGGCUGUCCUACUUAUUUGACCAACAGAAUUUGUCAGAAGGGACUUUCUGUAACUUCUGAAGCUGUCUCAUAAGAAGCCUUGCAGAUUCUGCUCAUGUCUCUUUCCUCUCUGGGAAACAAGUCGCGACUCAGGGAUAAGCCUGAGACACAUGGAGAGAACAUCCUGAUCAAUCUGGUCUUUGCUGCUACCCUGGUCAACAGCCUGAGCUGGAUACCUGGCUGACAAGUACCACCUUUUUCCUACACAGAUGACAACCCAGCCCAUGAGCACCAGGAAAAUUAAACAAAAAGCCGAAAGAAAAAAGAAAAGAAGAAGUCUGGGAGUGAAGUUAUAUGCUUAAAGGCAUGCAUCUAGCAAAUGGCAAAAAAAAUGGAUGAAGACACAAGACUGAUUGUCACUAAAAACCAUGUGGUAUGUUUGAGCAAGCCCUUCUCUAGGGAAGACCCAUAAAAUUUGACUCAUGAAGAGAGAGAAAAAAAUUCAGGAGGCGAAAUUAAUACGGGGAGAAAAUGAAAGAGAUUUAGUGCAGCUAUCAACCGACCAUUGUGCUGUCUUUAAGAGUCUGUUGAAACAACAUAAUAAGAGCUCAUUGACCAGAAUUAGCAACAUGGCCCUUCCUAACUAGAAGGGACCAGAAUGGAUAGUCCUUCUAUGUGUCCAGAAGGAGAGAAGGACCAGAUAUGUGUGAUCAUGUCUCCAUUAUGGGAGAAAAGAGAAUUGAAAAAGAAAGAAGAUCCACAUAGUGUCUGAGGAGCUGAGACAAAAGAAAAGUAAGUCAUCUCAUUGAGUCUCAGUUUCUUCAUCUCUCAAAGAAAGAUGAACAUACCCACUGCACUAAGGGUGUCAUGAAGAUUACAUUAGAAAAAUGCACAUGAUAUCUUUAAAUCUCUUUGCCAAUAGCAAGACAUUUUUAAAAAUGAAAUACUGUUUUAUGAUUGGUGGUUGUUUUACUAUGAAACCAUAAAAUGCUAGAUUUCAUGGGGGUAUACAAGACUUUCUCUGGUAUAGCCUUCCCUUUGGUACGAAAUUUUUUUUCCUAUUUUUUUAAAGCAACCCUAUUAGCUGAAGGUACAAGAAUUUUCAUUACAGAAGAUCCUAAAUGAGAGCAAUGAUCAGAAUUAGCUGGAAAGCCACACACAUGCACAACCUGAUUCAGAAGGAUCAGAGAAGGUUAUUUGCCCCCUUGCAGAUCUAGGGGGCCUGGGGCUUUUACAUGAGCCCCAAAGGAUGCACCAGAUAGAAAAUUGGCAGGAUGACUGGAAAUUUUCAAAAUGCACAGGUCAGUUGCAAAUAAUCUGAUGCUGUUUUUGGGAAACUGCAGGCUAAAAAUAGCCAUGGUUUUCCUGGAUGAGGCAUUAGUUUGAUGUUGGCCUUUGUAACCUGUAUGUUUUUGCCAUCUCUGCUCAGUUCCAAUCAUUUUUACUUCCUUUCACUUUGUGUACCUAUAAGAUUCAGAGUUGUAUUAGAAACAUUCAUACUUUCUUUCAUUGAUAUAUUUAUUCACAUAUCAUUUAUUCACUCAUUCAUUUAUCCAUAUAUCCUUUGCUUUCUUUCCAUGACUUCAUCAAGUUUCUUAUUUAGAGUAUAAACAUUUAUUGAUCACUUUGUUUUCUCUGGGCACUGUAUUAGGCACCAGAGAUUCUAAAGGUGGGGGGAAACAAACUAAACAACAACAACAGCAACAACAACAACAAAUCCUCACAAAAUAACAUGUGCAAUGUCGUGGGGGUGCAGACAAGCACUCAUAAUUACAACAAAUAAUGCAGAGUGCAGUAGGAGUUCAGAAUUUCAACUAGCUUGAGAGUAGAGUGGUACAAGAAGGUUUCUUAGAGGAAGUGGCAGUUGAAGUAAUUCCUGAAGGUAUUGUUCAAGUGGGGAGGGUGGGAAGGGCAUCCUAGGUAAAAGGAACAACAUUUAUGUUGUAAUGAAGCCAAGUUGAAAAGAAAGCCACGUGCAGGCAAGCAAAGCAUGUUUGCCAGAUCUGCAGUUAUUCUAGGAGGCUCUUGUUUAAUGUGUGCCUGAUAUUGUGGAUUUAAUCACUACCUCACAAAUUAUUCUUCAAGAUUCAACUUGAUCAUUUAAACACAGACUCUAACAGAGUUUCUGACUCACACUAGGCACUAGAAAAAUCUUAUUUCUGAACUCUUUGCUGUUGCGUUUUCCCCCUUACCAGUCCCACAGUGCCUUGCAGAAAGUAGCCAUUCAAUGAAGUUACCUCCAAUUUAAUCCUAUCCCUCUCCGCCCAGUCCCAGUUUAACUUCCUUUUCCACCUACAAAGACCCUGAGGGCCAGAAAGAGGGCAGCCUCUUCCCAAGGCCUCCUUGUCUUUUUCUGCUUGAGGAAAUAGCUUGUGGUGUCUCCUUGGCUGUCUGUUUCUCCGCCUCUGGGGAAUCUCCUCUCAUGUAAAUCCUGCAAUUAGAGGCUCUCACCCCCACCACCAGAGCUACAUCUGCCUCCCUAGAUAGGCACCCACUUGAUUAGGAAGAGAUAAUCACAGGGGCUGCUUCAGCCUACAGCUUGGUGAAGACAGGAAGAAAUUCUGAUUAAAUUUGUGGUUUCAAGAGAAGGGCUCCCCCUCUCUCAUCACAUACCAGCUUCCUGUCUGCCUAUACAUUUGGACUCAAGGCGCAAAAUUUUGAUUCGUCAUUUAUUUUUUCAAAAACCAUAGAAAUUAGGCAAUAAAUAGGAAUAUACCUCUUUGGUAGAUGAAGAAUGUGAGCUGUGAGAGAUGAAGCAUUUGACUUAGGUCAUAAUGUUGAUUGCCUAGCAGAGACUUUGGAUUCGAUCACUGAUUAGUUUUAUAUCCUCCAUAAGAGAAAGCAAGAGAAAGUAAGCAAAGCAUUUUUUUCCCUUGAGAUGAUCUAAUUUUGACUUCUGUAUGGGUGUGUGUUUGUACUUAUAUAUAUUAUUAAUUCAAAUUAUAUAUUCAACUUAACUUUUAGAAACAUUAGAAAUAUGUGCAGAAUGUAAGAAAUGCAUAAAGUAGAGGAAAGCCUAAGGAAGAAGCCAAAGUCAUUCAUUAUAUCCAGAGAUACUUCCUGGUUGAUAUAUGACGUGUGUAUGUGUCUAUAUAAAAUGUCUACAUAAUCAGAAUUAUAAUACACAUGUGCACAUAUAGUUAUUUUCUAACUACAUUUUGUAUUGUAAACAUUUCCCCAGGUCAUUAAAUAUUCUUCUAAAA
rnacentral:lncRNA from 1 species